rnacentral:rRNA from 1 species
GAUGAACGCUGGCGGCGUGCCUAAUACAUGCAAGUCGAGCAGCGGCGGACGGGUGAGUAAGACGUGUUAACCUUCCUAUAAGUAUGGGAUAACUUCGGGAAACAGGUGGUAAUACCGGCUAUUCAUAGGUGGAUCCUCGCUGCAUUAGCUAGUUGGUAGGUAAACGGCUUACCAAGGCAACGAUGCAUAGCCGACCUGAGAGGAUGAUCAGCCACACUGGGACUGAGACACGGCCCAGACUCCUACGGGAGGCAGCAGUGGGGAAUAUUGCACAAUGGGCGAAAGCCUGAUGCAGCCAUGCCGCGUGUGUGAAGAAGGCCUUAGGGUUGUAAAGUACUUUCAGCGGGGAGGCGUUACCCGCAGAAGAAGCACCGGCUAACUACGUGCCAGCAGCCGCGGUAAUUC